CUAAUACAUGCAAGUCGAGCGAACGGACGAGAAGCUUGCUUCUCUGAUGUUAGCGGCGGACGGGUGAGUAACACGUGGAUAACCUACCUAUAAGACUGGGAUAACUUCGGGAAACCGGAGCUAAUACCGGAUAAUAUUUUGAACCGCAUGGUUCAAAAGUGAAAGACGGUCUUGCUGUCACUUAUAGAUGGAUCCGCGCUGCAUUAGCUAGUUGGUAAGGUAACGGCUUACCAAGGCAACGAUGCAUAGCCGACCUGAGAGGGUGAUCGGCCACACUGGAACUGAGACACGGUCCAGACUCCUACGGGAGGCAGCAGUAGGGAAUCUUCCGCAAUGGGCGAAAGCCUGACGGAGCAACGCCGCGUGAGUGAUGAAGGUCUUCGGAUCGUAAAACUCUGUUAUUAGGGAAGAACAUAUGUGUAAGUAACUGUGCACAUCUUGACGGUACCUAAUCAGAAAGCCACGGCCAACUACGUGCCAGCAGCCGCGGUAAUACGUAGGUGGCAAGCGUUAUCCGGAAUUAUUGGGCGUAAAGCGCGCGUAGGCGGUUUUUUAAGUCUGAUGUGAAAGCCCACGGCUCAACCGUGGAGGGUCAUUGGAAACUGGAAAACUUGAGUGCAGAAGAGGAGAGUGGAAUUCCAUGUGUAGCGGUGAAAUGCGCAGAGAUAUGGAGGAACACCAGUGGCGAAGGCGACUUUCUGGUCUGUAACUGACGCUGAUGAGCG
rnacentral:rRNA from 1 species